rnacentral:lncRNA from 1 species
GGAACUGAUCAGCAGCAAGCAGGCUGACAGCAGCUGGUCACACAGGUGGGCUGGAAGCAAGUGGUCCUGCAGCAGGUGGUCUCACAGCAGGCUGGGCGGCAGCAGGGCUGGCAGCAGCUGGAGCCACAGCUCUGAUUUAGGCAACCAGGCAGGCAGACACUCGUGGGGUGGUAGCAGGUUCUUCUGCAGUACACAGGUGCACAGGAGCUGCUCUGGUCACAGCUGGACCCACAGCAGGUGGGCUGGCAGCAGGGUGUGCUGCAGCAGGAAGGCUGGCAGCAGCUGGUCACACAGGUGGGCUGGCAGCAGGUGUUUUGACAGCAAGUUGGGCGGCAGCAAGGCUGGCAGCAGCUGGACACACAGCAGGAGGGCUGGCAGCAGGGUGUGCUGCUGCAGGUGGUCACAGUGGUGGGCUUCCAGCAGGUGGUCCUGCAGCAGGUGGUCCUGCAGCAUGUAGGCUGACAGCAAGGGGAACAGCAGUGGGUCAUGGUGUCAGGG